AUGGAUAUACCAGUCACAUGUCCAAGCUGUGCAGCCCUGGACCAGUGGUCUAAGCAGGAGGAUGCUGAUUUCACCAAUGAAAUAGCUAAUAAGAGCACAAAAGCAGACAUCUCAAAAGCAUUCCAGACUCCAAAGAAAAAGAGAAUGUUCAGAAGAGGCUUCCAACCUGCUGGAAUAAAUCCCUUUGAACCUAAGAGAGGAAGAGCUCAUAUAAGCCACACUAAAAGUCAGAAUUUAUUGUUUAUCAGCAUGUUUAAUAAAAUUUAUUUUGAAAAGUAUAUUAAGCAGUACAAUAAAAUAAUACCUAUCUGUAUUAAAAAAUCACACUAUAGAUUUAGCCUGUUUCAUACUGUUGCUGGUCCUGCCAAUAUACACUUUUGUUCACUGCUUUUAGAUCCUUGAGAUGACCUUUAUCAUCUAAAAUAAUAUGCUUACGCUUUUAUUUAUUGUUUCAACAGCUAUAGAUGGCGUCUCUUAACACUCUGCCUUAUAAAUGGGAAUUUAACCUUUGUAAUUCUUAUUUUUAUAUCUUUUUUCCCCUCUUGUUAAAGUCAACCUCAUACACAAAAAGGCAGAGGAGGAGGUCAUCAGGCAAAGAAGUCAGGAACAAAGGUUUAAAGAAAAUACGACUUUUUAGAACAGGUGUGUUUUCGGGGCGCCUGGGUGGCACAGUCGGUUAAGCGUCCGACUUCAGCCAGGUCAGGAUCUCGCGGUCCGGGAGUUCGAGCCCCGCGUCAGGCUCUGGGCUGAUGGCUCAGAGCCUGGAGCCUGUUUCUGAUUCUGUGUCUCCCUCUCUCUCUGUCCCUCCCCCGUUCAUGCUCUGUCUCUCUCUGUCCCAAAAAUAAAUAAACGUUGGAAAAAAAAAUGUUUAGAACA
rnacentral:lncRNA from 1 species